GGCUCUGUAGCUCAGCUGGUAGAGCGCUCCCCUGAAAAGGGAGAGGUCAGCGGAUCAUCCCCGCUCGGAGCCA
rnacentral:tRNA from 1 species